GACAGUUCUUUUAUGGCAAAAUCAAAAGAUUUCUACUAAAGAAGACUCUGGGAGAAGGCCAGCACGAUUUUACAUUGGAGAUUCCUCUUCAGCUCUGAGGAAAGAAAAACGAUAGAGAUGGAGCUAGGCAGCAAGAAGCAGAUGGAAAUGGGUAGAGAGAAGUAAUAUGUUCUCUUCCUGAGUGGAAAAUGUUGGGUAAGUUGCUCUAAUGCCCUGGCAAG
rnacentral:lncRNA from 1 species